UCGACGGAGAUAUCUUGUUUGAAGUUUUCGGAUGGACGACGGGAUAUCUUAGUGGCGAACGGGUGAGUAACACGUGAGUAACCUGCCUUUCAGAGGGGGACAACAUUUGGAAACGAAUGCUAAUACCGCAUAAGACCACGGUACCGCAUGGUAGAGAGGUCAAAGGAGAAAUCCGCUGAAAGAUGGGCUCGCGUCCGAUUAGGUAGUUGGUGAGGUAACGGCCCACCAAGCCGACGAUCGGUAGCCGGACUGAGAGGUUGAACGGCCACAUUGGGACUGAGACACGGCCCAGACUCCUACGGGAGGCAGCAGUGGGGGAUAUUGCACAAUGGGGGAAACCCUGAUGCAGCGACGCCGCGUGGAGGAAGAAGGUCUUCGGAUUGUAAACUCCUGUCCGAGGGGACGAUAAUGACGGUACCCUUGGAGGAAGCACCGGCUAACUACGUGCCAGCAGCCGCGGUAAAACGUAGGGUGCAAGCGUUGUCCGGAAUUACUGGGUGUAAAGGGAGCGCAGGCGGACUGUCAAGUUGGGAGUGAAAACUACGGGCUCAACCCGUAACUUGCUUUCAAAACUGGCGGUCUUGAGUGGUGUAGAGGUAGGCGGAAUUCCCGGUGUAGCGGUGGAAUGCGUAGAUAUCGGGAGGAACACCAGUGGCGAAGGCGGCCUACUGGGCACUAACUGACGCUGAGGCUCGAAAGCAUGGGUAGCAAACAGGAUUAGAUACCCUGGUAGUCCAUGCCGUANACGAUGAUUACUAGGUGUNGGGGGAUAGACCCCCUCCGUGCC
rnacentral:rRNA from 1 species